CCCCCUGAGCUAAUCUCUCGCUCGUCUCUCCCUCUUCCCCGCACCACUCCUCACCACCGCCACCACCUACGGCGCCCGAUCCGGUCUGAUUCCGGCGUCCUCUGGCGGCGCCCAGCACACCACCGUGCCCCCCUCCCAACGCGCCUUCCUCCCAUCAGGCCAGAUCCGGCGCGCGCGUCCUCCAGCGGCCAAGCGCGACCCUGCCCAGCAGCUAGGGUUUGGGCCAGCACAUCGCCGGGCAUGGAGCCUCCUCCCGCUGUCUCCUUUCUUCUACAACUUCUCUUCUUCUCCUCUUGAUGUGUGCGUGUAUUGUGUCAAUGAAAGGAAUUCAAGGCCAUGGCCGGAGAGAGAGGAGCUGCUCCUAGUAUAGGACGCCAUGGAAGUGUUGCUCUAAUGAGGAGAAACUGCUGCAGGACGUCCUCCUCCCCUCCUACCCCCACCUAGGGCUCUCGGAGGAGGCGAAGCAAUGGGAUAGGCACGUCAUGAAGGGCUGCAAGGGAGAUAUGUCCAUCGAUUGCCUCAGGUUCUUCUUUGAUCGUAGAUCGUUUUCCUAUGAUGCCGACGACAGAAUCCCAUAAUGUAUGUCCAUUGCCAAUCUAUGGAUUUUACAAAGAAGAUUGACUAAUUAAGAGCUUAGAUGUGUCUGCAGAGGCAUAAAAAACAUGGUGAUCAGAAGGAUUUGUACGGGUAAGAUGCAAACAGUGCUGGCCUAUAUUAGCAUGCAGUUUUUUUAUUGGUUCUUAUAAUUUAUCUGUUUCCCAGCAUAUAUCCCUGAUUCUUUCCAUCAAUUUAGCGGUGAAUCACGUCAUCCGAUUGACUCAUAUUGCAACAGGGAAAGGCAGAUAUGCCAUGGCCUUUGCCUCCAUGUGCCAUUGGCCUUUGUGUGUUUCUUUUAUUUGGGGGAAAACGAGAUUGAGAUAUAGACUAUGAACAUCGCAGACUGAUAAUGUAAUUGUCCUUCUGCCCAGAUUUUACAAAAUUGUAUAAUGAAGUGCAAUACAGGACCCUCGCUAUGGAAUAAUUACUCUUUUAUAUCUCACUGUCCAGCCUUUGAUUCGAGAUAUGAGGAUGUAGGUACGAAGGAGCAGCUAGGCAGUUACUUACAAAAAGGCUUGGGCACUCUCAUAAAUGGCUCCAUUUUUGUUUACCUUCUACUCAUCUAUAACAAAGAUGAUUUCUCCAUUGCUGUUGAGGAUACAAAGAUCUAGCUCGACUGGACUCUAGAUCACGGACAAUUUAGUCUUGGCCCUUAAUUAGGAUGGCUAAAUUACAUUUGAGUAUCAUUUGAUGGAUAUUUGCUAUGAGAAUUAUGAAUUUUAUGAAUCUACAUAUUAUAUGUAUGGUUUUGAAUAUUGUAA